AAAAACCCAACUCCAAAUAGGAGAGGAAUAUUACUUAACUAUCAGCCAAGUGAUAGCUUAACAAAGGUAAUAAGCCCAAAAAUAAUUAUUACCAACUACCAGUCAAGUGAUAGCGUAACAAAGGUAGUAAGCCCAAAAAGAAUGAUUACCAACUACCAGCCAAGUGAUAACUUAACAAAGGUAACCAAUCAAAGGUAAAAAGAAUAUUACCUACUAUCAGCAGAGUGAUAGCUUAACAAAG
rnacentral:lncRNA from 1 species